rnacentral:rRNA from 1 species
ACUUCAGNCGCGCUGUAUGUCGCCGCAGGUUAAUUGUUNUUGGCUCAACUGGCCGCUGUGUUACUAGCCUAACACAUGCAGUCGAACGAGNACUUCGGGUCUAGUGGCGCACGGGUGCGUAACGCGUGGGAAUCUGCCCUUUGGUUCGGAAUAACAGUUGGAAACGACUGCUAAUACCGGAUGAUGACGAAAGUCCAAAGAUUUAUCGCCAGAGGAUGAGCCCGCGUAGGAUUAGCUAGUUGGUGUGGUAAAGGCGCACCAAGGCGACGAUCCUUAGCUGGUCUGAGAGGAUGAUCAGCCACACUGGGACUGAGACACGGCCCAGACUCCUACGGGAGGCAGCAGUGGGGAAUAUUGGACAAUGGGCGAAAGCCUGAUCCAGCAAUGCCGCGUGAGUGAUGAAGGCCUUAGGGUUGUAAAGCUCUUUUACCCGGGAUGAUAAUGACAGUACCGGGAGAAUAAGCUCCGGCUAACUCCGUGCCAGCAGCCGCGGUAAUACGGAGGGAGCUAGCGUUGUUCGGAAUUACUGGGCGUAAAGCGCACGUAGGCGGCUUUG